AUCUAUCUAUCUAUCUAUCUAUCCCAAUCCUAAUCAUAGCUUGAUUCUAGCUUAAUAGAUAGGAGGAGGCUCCCAGGGCCUGUAACCAAGAGCAAGAGGAUGGGUCAAGGUUCAGCGUGCAACUAACAAAUGGUAUGAGCGUGCUGAGCGCGGGCACCAACUUUUCAAUGAAAUUUUGUAACAGUGACAGUGCAGGGAAAACGAACGUUGCUAUGGUUUGGAGAGGAAAAAGAGAAAGGAAACAAAAUUUUAAAAUCUGCACUACGUGCUCUGGUUUUAUGGUGCAUACAAGAGUAGAUGUUCCACCUACCACUGAUGGAUGUACCGAAGGACGAAAGUAGGGCGAUGUAAUACGUUUAUAAAAGUACUUUUUGGGAUGGAUCUAAACUUAUGGUUUUCAUAUUUCCAAUCAAAUUAUUUAAAAAGAUAUUAAUGAUCAAAGUCUGUAAAAUUUGACUAGUUUUUUGUUAAAUGGCCUAGUUCUCUCUGUCUAAUUGGUAUAGUAAAGGAAAUUGAAUUACAGGGGAUUUCCACAUAAAAAAAUAAGAAUCAUAGGAUAAAAAAUUAAUAUAAAGAGGUGUUUGGUAGAGCUCCAGCUCCACGAAUUCGUGAAGCUGGGUUUCUCUAGCUCUACAAAAUCUAUAGAGCUGGAGCUAAAACUUUUUAAAUUUCGUAUUGCACCUAUUUUGUUUUCAUUUUAGAUUAAAAAUAUACAAUUUCAGUUUCAGCUCUAUAGAUUUUAUGGAGCUAGAAAAAUCUAGCUCCAUAAAUUUUAUGAGCUAAAGCUCUGCUAAACACCGUUAAGUGGCAGCAAUUUUCGCCACUAAAAUCAAUACAAGUGUCCAAUUGAUGAAAAAAGUGAGAAACUUAGCAGAAGUUUCGUCACGUACCUCUGGCUAACAGUUUGUGCACCAGACAAACAGGGGCUCACGCGUUUGACUGGUGAUUGGAAGCGGAGACUUGGGCACGCGGUUUCCAUCUUGUCACGUACACCAUAUAUACCGUGAUAAUAAGACACAAUAAAUAAGAGUCGUCUUCCUCUCCAGGAAGCACAGCGAUCGAACUGAAAUAGGAUCCGAGCAAGCUCCAUACCAUACAAGAUGUCGGCAAGGCGCUACUUUCUGAUCGCUGCCCUCUUGCUGCUGAUCCUGCUCAGCGGCAGCAGCCUCGCAUCAGCAGGCAAUCAACCGUAUGGAUGCACGCUUAACCCCGUUUCCAAUCCAAUAUAUUGCCCGCCAGGUGGUCCAACCAGAUCGUGUCGUCGUCCGCCAUGCCCGUUGAAAUGAAGUUAUUAGGUGCUGCCGAUGGGCAUUGCUUGUUCCCCAAAUUCAAUAUGUUUGCCCUCGUCCGCCAUGUUAGCGCUCUUCUUGCCCCCAUGCAUGCCUAAAUGAAGUGCCGUUGAUCGGUAUUAAAUAAUUAAUGUUCUCCAACUUAGUCAACAGGCUUGAGGAGGGUUCUGUACGCCUUCGAACACAUCAAGCAUCCAACUGUCUAAUUUUACAAGUGUCUGCUACGAUUAUGUAUCACUUAAUUUGUACACUCUUACAUAUAUCAAUGAAUUCCUUUUCGAAAGAAGCA